CCGUCGUGCCCGGACCCUGUCGCA
rnacentral:ncRNA from 2 species